GAUGAAGAACGUAGCGAAAUGGGAUAAGUAAUGUGAAUUGCAGAAUUCAGUGAAUCAUCGAAUCUUUGAACGCACAUUGCGCCCCUUGGUAUUCCGAGGGGCAUGCCUGUUCGAGCGUCAUUAUAACCCCUCAAGCUCAGCUUGGUGUUGGGGCCUGCUGCACUGGCAGCCCUUAAAAUCAGUGGCGGCGCCAUCUGGCUCUAAGCGUAGUAAUUCUUCUCGCUAUGGAGUCCUGGUGGAUGCUUGCCAUCAACCCCCAAUUUUUCUAUGGUUGACCUCGGAUCAGGAAGGGAUACCCGCUGAACUUAAGCAUAUCAAUAAGCGGAGGA
rnacentral:misc_RNA from 1 species